rnacentral:rRNA from 1 species
UAAUUAAAUAAAAAAUAUAUUAAAUUUAAAUAAAAUUUUAAAAUAAAAAUUAUUUAAAAUACUUUAAAGUUUAAAAAAUUAAAUAUAAAAAUUAUAAAAUUAUAAACACAUUAAUUAAAUAUAAAUAAAAUUAAUAAUUUAUACCUUUUGCAUCAGGGAUUAUUAAAAAUUUAAGAUAAUAAAAUCUUUAAUCUCGAAAAAGAAAAAUUUAUAAAAAUAAUUUUUUAUUAAUAUUUAAAUAUUAAAAUAAAAUAUUUUUAUAGAAACUAUAUAUUAAACAAUUUCUUUAAUAUCUAGUUUUUUAAAAAAUGAAUUAAAUUCAUUUAUAUUUAAUUAAAUUUAUAUCUAUAAAAAAUUAAAUUUAAUUUAUUAUAUAAAAAUUAUUUAAGGGAUAAAUUUUAAAUAAAUAUUAUAAAUAAACUAAUAAAAAUAAUUUUUAAUAAAAUUUAAAUUUUUUAAUUAAAAAAAAUAUUUUAUAAUUUAAAUAAUAAAAUUUUUCAAUUUAAAGAUUUUUUAAAUUUUAAAAAAAUAUUAAAAUAACAUUUUUAACUUAAUUAAAUAUAAAAUAAUAAUAAUAUUAAUAUAAAUAAAAUUUAAAUAAAAAUAAAAUUAUUAUUAAAAAAUUUAAAUUUAUAAAUUAAACAAAAAAAUAUAUUCACCUGUUUGACAAAAACAUGUCUUAAUGAAAAUAAUUUUAAGUCAAAUCUGCUCAAUGAAAUAAUUUAAAUAGCUGCAGUAUUUUAACUGUACAAAGGUAGCAUAAUAAUUAGAUUUUUAAUUGAAAUCUAGAAUGAAAGAUUAAAUGAAAUAUAUAUUUUAUUAAAAAAAAAAAUAAAAUUUAAAUUUUAAUUUAAAAUGAUUAAAUAAAAUUAUAAAACGAAAAGACCCUAUAGAAUUUGAUAUUUAAUAUAAUAAUUUACAAAUAAUURUAAUUAAAUAUUUUAUUGGGGCAAUAAUAAAAUUUAUUAAACUUUUAAAAAAUUUAACAUUAAAUAAUGAAAAAAUUUAAAAUAACUUAAAAUUUAAAAAUUAAAAAAUUACCUUAGGGAUAACAGCAUAAUUUUAUUCAAAAGUACAUAUUUAAAAUAAAGAUUAUGACCUCGAUGUUGAAUUAAGAUAAAAAUAAAAAGAAAAAUUUUUAAAAUUUUAGUCUGUUCGACUAUUAAAAUCUUACAUGAUUUGAGUUAAGAUCGGCGUAAGCCAGAUCGGAUUCUAUUUAUAAUAAAAAAAAAAUAUUAUUGUACGAAAGGAAUUAAUAUUUAAAUAUAAUUUUCACUAAAUAAAUAAAAAAAAGAUUAUAUAAAAAUAUUAAAUUUAUAAUAAUUAAUAUAUAUAUAUAUAUAUAUAUAUAUAUUAUUAACACAUAAACAUAUUAAUAUUUAAUUACAAAUUAAAAAAUCAAUAAUUUAAAAUAUUUAAAAUUUAAAAUUAUAUAAA